GGUUGUGGCUCAGUGGUCGAAUGCUUGCCUCAUAAGCGUGAGGCACUGGGUUCAAUCCUCAGCACCA
rnacentral:tRNA from 1 species